AUAUAACUUUUUCUAUUAAUAAAAUUCAUUAAAAUCUUCCUCAUCCCAAAAGAAGUUUUUAUGAAAUUGUGACAUGCAACACCAAAUGUUAUUUCCCAGAAUUUGGGAAGUACACAGGAAGUCAUGUCAGCCAAUGGUAACGUGCAGACCCUCUAUAGCUCCACCCCAAACAGCUUAUAACUCCCUCUACCAGGCAUUGCCAGAUCCACACCAAGAAGUUUAUAUCUACGCAACAGAAAAGUCUAGAAAGCAAAAUGGAGGUCCAGUUACUGAAUAAACCUUCAGAUGGGGAUAAAGAAAUGAAUCCUGAUCCUCAAGUGGUCACUAUGCAGCCAGAAGUGAAUCUGACCAUCACUCCAGAGGAUAAACCACUGCCAGAUUACCUGGGUUACUCCAUCUUUACCAUGAUCUUCUGUUUUUUACCCACAGGCAUUGCUGCUCUUGUUUACUCCGUCACAACUCGAAAUGCAAACAAGUCAGGACACCGACAAAUUGCAGAGGAACACUCCAGAACUGCACGCAUACUUAACCAUGUCAGUCUUGGUAUUGGCAUAGCAAUAUAUGUCAGCAGUCUUAUUGCUUUUGGGACCAUAUUUCUACUACUUGCACAUCAUAAUUAAAGUCUGGAGUAUAAAGGUAUACCUUUUGUUGGGAAAAUGAAUAUACCUUCAGCUACAGCAAUUAUGUACACAUUUUAAAGGCCCAUGUUGACAUUAAGUGACUAUCAUACAACUGAUGAGGACCAUGUGUGUGGGUCAGAGAGAGCUCGUCGUAUUGUUGUUGAUGAAUGUUUGGUUAACUGUGAUAUUUUAUGUUUGCAAGAGACUUUAUAUAUGUAAGACUUUGAAUAAUUAAAUUAUUUUAAUAGUAAUUUAUUGUUCUUAAAGUAUAUGCACCUUAUGAAUGUCAUUAAUGAAAAUGAGUAGCUACUUAAGCAGAAUUGCAUUUAUUAAUUUGUUUAUUAAAAGUAUGGCUACCCCUGGCCUGUAUUGUAUCUGUUGUUGGGGAUGAGAAUGCUGACAUUUCAGACAGUAGCUCAAUAAAGUUUAUUAUUAUUUA